rnacentral:rRNA from 1 species
UGGGGAAUAUUGCGCAAUGGGCGAAAGCCUGACGCAGCGACGCCGCGUGAGGGAUGAAGGUUUUCGGAUCGUAAACCUCUGUCAGAAGGGAAGAAACCGCACUGUGCUAAUCAGCAGUGCCUUGACGGUACCUUCAAAGGAAGCACCGGCUAACUCCGUGCCAGCAGCCGCGGUAAUACGGAGGGUUCAAGCGUUAAUCGGAAUUACUGGGCGUAAAGCGCACGUAGGCUGCUUUGUAAGUCAGGGGUGAAAUCCCACGGCUCAACCGUGGAACUGCCGUUGAUACUGCUUAGCUUGAAUCCGGGAGAGGGGGGGGGAAUUCCAGGUGUAGGAGUGAAAUCCGUAGAUAUCUGGAGGAAAAUCAGUGGCGAAGGCGGCCACCUGGACCGGUAUUGACGCUGAGGUGCGAAAGCGUGGGGAGCAAACAGG